rnacentral:rRNA from 1 species
ACACUCCUGCGGGAGGCAGCAGUGAGGAAUAUUGGACAAUGGGUGGAAGCCUGAUCCAGCCAUCCCGCGUGCAGGAAGACGGCCCUAUGGGUUGUAAACUGCUUUUAUCUGGGGAUAAACCUACUUACGUGUAAGUAGCUGAAGGUACCAGAAGAAUAAGCACCGGCUAACUCCGUGCCAGCAGCCGCGGUAAUACGGAGGGUGCAAGCGUUAUCCGGAUUUAUUGGGUUUAAAGGGUCCGUAGGCGGACUGAUAAGUCAGUGGUGAAAUCCGACAGCUUAACUGUCGAACUGCCAUUGAUACUGUUAGUCUUGAGUAAGGUUGAAGUGGCUGGAAUAAGUAGUGUAGCGGUGAAAUGCAUAGAUAUUACUUAGAACACCAAUUGCGAAGGCAGGUCACUAAGUCUUAACUGACGCUGAUGGACGAAAGCGUGGGGAGCGAACAGGAUUAGAAACCUGGUAGUCCCAUGA